rnacentral:rRNA from 1 species
UAGGGAAUCUUCCGCAAUGGACGCAAGUCUGACGGAGCAACGCCGCGUGAGUGAAGAAGGAUUUCGGUUCGUAAAACUCUGUUGUUAGAGAAGAACAGCGCAUAGAGUAACUGUUAUGCGUGUGACGGUAUCUAACCAGAAAGCCACGGCUAACUACGUGCCAGCAGCCGCGGUAAUACGUAGGUGGCAAGCGUUGUCCGGAUUUAUUGGACGUAAAGCGAGCGCAGGCGGUCAAUUAAGUCUGAUGUGAAAGCCCCCGGCUCAACCGGGGAGGGUCAUUGGAAACUGGUUGACUUGAGUGCAGAAGAGGAGAGUGGAAUUCCAUGUGUAGCGGUGAAAUGCGUAGAUAUAUGGAGGAACACCAGUGGCGAAGGCGACUCUCUGGUCUGUAACUGACGCUGAGGUUCGAAAGCGUGGGUAGCAAACAGG